GACUCAGAGGAUUCAGCAAAAAAACACCCCAGCAAAAAGGGGAAAAAAAUGGACUCCAGAAAAAGAAAGAAGAGUCAAGAGGAGUCAGAUUCUGAUUCAGAAUCUAAAUCUGAAUCAAGUGAUGAAAGCGAAAAAUCAUCACCGGCGGAGAAGGAAAAGAAAAAGA